AUUGAACGCUGGCGGCAGGCCUAACACAUGCAGGUCGAACGAGUGGCGGACGGGUGAGUCAUGUCUGGGAAACUGCCCGAUGGAGGGGGAUAACUACUGGAAACGGUAGCUAAUACCGCAUACCAUCGGAUGUGCCCAGAUGGGAUUAGCUAGUAGGUGGGGUAAUGGCGCACCUAGGCGACGAUCCCUAGCUGGUCUGAGCGGAUGACCAGCCACACUGGAACUGAGAAACGGUCCAGACUCCUACGGGAGGCAGCAGUGGGGAAUAUUGCACAAUGGGCGCAAGCCUGAUGCAGCCAUGCCGCGUGUAUGAAGAAGGCCUUCGGGUGGUAAAGUCCUUUCAGCGAGGAGGCGUUACUCGCAGAAGAAGCACCGGCUAACUCCGUGCCAGCCGCCGCGGUAAUUC
rnacentral:rRNA from 1 species